CGUGUAGGCGGUUUUUUAAGUCUGAUGUGAAAGCCCUGGGCUCAACCUGGGAAGUGCAUUGGAUACUGGAAGACUUGAAUACGGGAGAGGGCAGUGGAAUUCCUGGUGUAGGAGUGAAAUCCGUAGAUAUCAGGAGGAACACCGGUGGCGAAGGCGGCUGCCUGGACCGAUAUUGACGCUGAGACGCGAAAGCGUGGGUAGCAAACAG
rnacentral:rRNA from 1 species